CUGUGAUUGGCUGCUCACAGGGGUCAGAGGGUUUGAAAGAAGAAACCGAUCACAUGACUGUGGAAACAGAUUUAUUGAGAAAAGAACACAAACACCCACAGAGCUCCGCCCCCUCCAGCCUGACAGCCAAACAAAGCAAUGAGAGACUCAGGACAUCAGGAAGCAGCUCACCUGGUUGGGCCUGAGCGGUUCCUGGUGACAGACAGGUGUAAAAACGUAGCCUGAUGAAGAUCACAUGGAUGGAAAAGAAAGAUCCGAUAAAGAAACACCGAACAGGUGGUCAGGUGAUCUGGGACUGCUGGUGCGGACACCUGGUGGAUGGAUGAAGAACUGCAGAGGUGAUCUGGUGAAACCUCAGUGGAGGAGUUUGGGGUUGGAUAAAGGUGGGGUUCC